rnacentral:rRNA from 1 species
AUUGAACGCUGGCGGCAGGCCUAACACAUGCAAGUCGAGCGAGCGGCGGACGGGUGAGUAAUGUCUGGGAAACUGCCUGAUGGAGGGGGGUAACUACUGGAAACGGUAGCUAAUACCGCAUACCAUCAGAUGUGCCCAUAUGGGUUUAGCUCGGAGGUGGGGUAACGGCUCACCUAGGCGACGAUCCCUAGCUGGUCUGAGAGGAUGACCAGCCACACUGUAACUGAGACACGGUCCAGACGCCUACGGGAGGCAGCAGUGGGGAAUAUUGCACAAUGGGCGCAAUCCUGAUGCAGCCAUGCCGCGUGUGUGAAGAAGGCCUUCGGGUUUUAAAGCACUUUCAGCGGGGAGGCGUUACCCGCAGAAGAAGCACCGGCUAACUCCGUGCCAGCAGCCGCGGUAAUAC